GUGCCAGCAGCCGCGGUAAGACAGAGGCCCCGAGCGUUAAUCGGAAUUACUGGGCUUAAAGGGUGCGUAGGCUGAUCCGAAAGUGCUUUGUGAAAUCCCCCGGCUCAACCGGGGAACAGCGGGGCAUACUGCGGAUCUUGAGGCAGGUAGGCGCCGAGGGAACAGUAGGUGGAGCGGUGAAAUGCGUAGAUAUCUACUGGAACGCCGAUGGUGAAGACGCUCGGCUGGGCCUGUCCUGACGCUGAGGCACGAAAGCGUGGGGAGCAAACAGGAUUAGAUACCCUCGUAGUCC
rnacentral:rRNA from 1 species